AUUGAACGCUGGCGGCAUGCCUUACACAUGCAAGUCGAACGGUAACAGGUCUUCGGAUGCUGACGAGUGGCGAACGGGUGAGUAAUACAUCGGAACGUGCCUAGUAGUGGGGGAUAACUACUCGAAAGAGUGGCUAAUACCGCAUGAGAUCUACGGAUGAAAGCAGGGGAUCGCAAGACCUUGUGCUACUAGAGCGGCCGAUGGCAGAUUAGGUAGUUGGUGGGAUAAAAGCUUACCAAGCCGACGAUCUGUAGCUGGUCUGAGAGGACGAUCAGCCACACUGGGACUGAGACACGGCCCAGACUCCUACGGGAGGCAGCAGUGGGGAAUUUUGGACAAUGGGCGAAUGCCUGAUCCAGCAAUGCCGCGUGCAGGAUGAAGGCCUUCGGGUUGUAAACUGCUUUUGUACGGAACGAGAAGCCCCGGGUUAAUACCCUGGGGUCAUGACGGUACCGUAAGAAUAAGCACCGGCUAACUACGUGCCAGCCGCCGCGGUAA
rnacentral:rRNA from 1 species